rnacentral:rRNA from 1 species
UUAUCGUUUAUUUGAUAGUACCUUACUACAUGGAUAACCGUGGUAAUUCUAGAGCUAAUACAUGCUAAAAACCCCAACUUCGGAAGGGGUGUAUUUAUUAGAUAAAAAACCAAUGCCCUUCGGGGCUCCUUGGUGAAUCAUAAUAACUUCACGAAUCGCAUGGCCUUGCGCCGGCGAUGGUUCAUUCAAAUUUCUGCCCUAUCAACUUUCGAUGGUAGGAUAGAGGCCUACCAUGGUUUCAACGGGUAACGGGGAAUUAGGGUUCGACUCCGGAGAGGGAGCCUGAGAAACGGCUACCACAUCCAAGGAAGGCAGCAGGCGCGCAAAUUACCCAAUCCCGACACGGGGAGGUAGUGACAAUAAAUACUGAUACAGGGCUCUUUUGGGUCUUGUAAUUGGAAUGAGUACAAUUUAAAUCCCUUAACGAGGAACAAUUGGAGGGCAAGUCUGGUGCCAGCAGCCGCGGUAAUUCCAGCUCCAAUAGCGUAUAUUAAAGUUGUUGCAGUUAAAAAGCUCGUAGUUGAACCUUGGGCCUGGCUGGCCGGUCCGCCUCACCGCGUGUACUGGUCCGGCCGGGCCUUUCCUUCUGGGGAGCCGCAUGCCCUUCACUGGGCGUGUCGGGGAACCAGGACUUUUACUUUGAAAAAAUUAGAGUGUUCAAAGCAGGCCUUUGCUCGAAUACAUUAGCAUGGAAUAAUAGAAUAGGACGUGUGGUUCUAUUUUGUUGGUUUCUAGGACCGCCGUAAUGAUUAAUAGGGAUAGUCGGGGGCAUCCGUAUUCAAUUGUCAGAGGUGAAAUUCUUGGAUUUAUUGAAGACGAACUACUGCGAAAGCAUUUGCCAAGGAUGUUUUCAUUAAUCAGUGAACGAAAGUUAGGGGAUCGAAGACGAUCAGAUACCGUCGUAGUCUUAACCAUAAACUAUGCCGACUAGGGAUCGGUGGAUGUUAUCUUUUUGACUCCAUCGGCACCUUACGAGAAAUCAAAGUUUUUGGGUUCUGGGGGGAGUAUGGUCGCAAGGCUGAAACUUAAAGAAAUUGACGGAAGGGCACCACCAGGCGUUAAAAAUCUGCAGUUCACUCUGCGCCAGAAAGGGGCCCGCGAGGGUAGGUGGUAGCCGUCUUGAACCCUAGUCGGCGUCGAUCCUUCGAUGCUCGGCGAGACCGUCAAAUUGCGGGGAACGCGCGAAGCAGGCGGAUACUAAGCAGCGGCCGUGAGGCGCGCUGUGGCCGGACCUAAUCACUCCGGGUAUAGUAAAAAGUCCGCCUGUAUGUGCCAAUCCGCAGCCAAGCCUCUCUUCGGAGUGGAAGGUCCAGAGACUAAACGGCGGUCGGUCCCUGUUAGGAUCGAACGAUUAUACAAUGUAUAAUAUCUUGUAUAAUACCGUUCUACUUACCGGGGGCUUAAGAUAUAGUCCGGCCCCGCCCGAAAGGGAGGGGGAUUCAGGAUGUAGCUGCUAGCAUUAGCAGUUUCGAAACCGGGAGCCUGCGGCUUAAUUUGACUCAACACGGGGAAACUCACCAGGUCCAGACACAAGUAGGAUUGACAGAUUGAGAGCUCUUUCUUGAUUUUGUGGGUGGUGGUGCAUGGCCGUUCUUAGUUGGUGGAGUGAUUUGUCUGCUUAAUUGCGAUAACGAACGAGACCUUAACCUGCUAAAUAGCCAGGCCCGCUUUGGCGGGUCGCCGGCUUCUUAGAGGGACUAUCGGCUCAAGCCGAUGGAAGUUUGAGGCAAUAACAGGUCUGUGAUGCCCUUAGAUGUUCUGGGCCGCACGCGCGCUACACUGACAGAGCCAACGAGUUCAUCACCUUGGCCGGAAGGUCUGGGUAAUCUUGUUAAACUCUGUCGUGCUGGGGAUAGAGCAUUGCAAUUAUUGCUCUUCAACGAGGAAUGCCUAGUAAGCGCAUGUCAUCAGCAUGCGUUGAUUACGUCCCUGCCCUUUGUACACACCGCCCGUCGCUACUACCGAUUGAAUGGCUCAGUGAGGCCUUCGGACUGGCCCAGGGAGGUCGGCAACGACCACCCAGGGCCGGAAAGUUGGUCAAACUCGGUCAUUUAGAGGAAGUAAAAGUCGUAACAAGGUCUCCGUAGGUGAACCUGCGGAGGGAUCAUUACUGAGUGAGGGCCUUCGGGCUCGACCUCCAACCCUUUGUGAACACAACUUGUUGCUUCGGGGGCGACCCUGCCGUUUCGACGGCGAGCGCCCCCGGAGGCCUUCAAACACUGCAUCUUUGCGUCGGAGUUUAAGUAAAUUAAACAAAACUUUCAACAACGGAUCUCUUGGUUCUGGCAUCGAUGAAGAACGCAGCGAAAUGCGAUAAGUAAUGUGAAUUGCAGAAUUCAGUGAAUCAUCGAAUCUUUGAACGCACAUUGCGCCCCUUGGUAUUCCGAGGGGCAUGCCUGUUCGAGCGUCAUUUCACCACUCAAGCCUGGCUUGGUAUUGGGCGCCGCGGUCAAUCCGCGCGCCUCAAAGUCUCCGGCUGAGCUGUCCGUCUCUAAGCGUUGUGAUUUCAUUAAUCGCUUCGGAGUGCGGGCGGCCGCGGCCGUUAAAUCUUUCAAAGGUUGACCUCGGAUCAGGUAGGGAUACCCGCUGAACUUAAGCAUAUCAAUAAGCGGAGGAAAAGAAACCAACAGGGAUUGCCCUAGUAACGGCGAGUGAAGCGGCAACAGCUCAAAUUUGAAAUCUGGCGCAAGCCCGAGUUGUAAUUUGUAGAGGAUGCUUCUGGGUAGCGACCGAUCUAAGUUCCUUGGAACAGGACGUCAUAGAGGGUGAGAAUCCCGUAUGUGACCGGCCCGCACCCUUUACGUAGCUCCUUCGACGAGUCGAGUUGUUUGGGAAUGCAGCUCUAAAUGGGAGGUAAAUUUCUUCUAAAGCUAAAUACCGGCCAGAGACCGAUAGCGCACAAGUAGAGUGAUCGAAAGAUGAAAAGUACUUUGGAAAGAGAGUUAAAAAGCACGUGAAAUUGUUGAAAGGGAAGCGCCUGCAACCAGACUUCGUGGCAGUGUUCCGCCGGUCUUCUGACCGGUUUAUUCUCUGUCGCGAGGCCAUCAUCGUCUAGGCCCGCCGGAUAAGACCUUAGGAAUGUAGCUCACCUUCGGGGGAGUGUUAUAGCUUAUGGUGAUGCGGCGAGGCUUGGGCGAGGUCCGCGCUUCGGCAAGGAUGAUGGCGUAAUGGUUGUCGGCGGCCCGUCUUGAAACACGGACCAAGGAGUCUAACAUCUAUGCGAGUGUUCGGGUGUCAAACCCCUACGCGUAAUGAAAGUGAACGGAGGUGGGAACCGCAAGGUGCACCAUCGACCGAUCCUGAUGUCCUCGGAUGGAUUUGAGUAAGAGCAUAGCUGUUGGGACCCGAAAGAUGGUGAACUAUGCCUGAAUAGGGUGAAGCCAGAGGAAACUCUGGUGGAGGCUCGCAGCGGUUCUGACGUGCAAAUCGAUCGUCAAAUUU